CCCCAGGUAGAACGUGUGAUCACCAUCAUGCAGAACCCCCGGCAGUACAAGAUCCCCGACUGGUUCCUGAACCGACAGAAGGACGUCAAGGACGGCAAAUAUUCCCAGGUGUUGGCCAACGGGCUGGACAACAAACUGCGCGAGGACCUGGAGAGGCUCAAGAAGAU